GAUGAAGAACGCAGCGAAAUGCGAUACGUAAUGUGAAUUGCAGAAUUCAGUGAAUCAUCGAAUCUUUGAACGCAUAUUUCGCUCUCUGGUAUUCCGGAGAGCAUGCUUGUUUGAGUAUCAGUAAACACCUCAACUUCCAUAUCUUUUUUGAAAUGGGAGUUGGACUUGAGUGAUCCCAACGCUUUUCCUCACCGAAAAGUGGCGGGUUACUUGAAAUGCAGGUGCAGCUGGACUUUUCUCUGAGCUAUAAGCAUAUCUAUUUAGUCUGCCUAAAAAACAGAUUAUUACCUUUGCUGCAGCUAACAUAAAGGAGAUUAGUUCUUGUGCUGACUGAUGCAGGAUUCACAAAGACAGGCUUCGGCCGACUUUGUAAACUCGAUCUCAAAUCAAGUAAGACUACCCGCUGAACUUAAGCAUAUCAAUAAGCGGAGGA
rnacentral:misc_RNA from 1 species